ACGUGUCUAUGACUGAAGUGACAAGUGAUGAAGACCAACCUACUAUUAGCCAAAAAACAUUUUCUAGUGGCACUACAAGUAAAAAACUGAUAACUCACUACCCUGCAAAAUCUUUCGGGAAAGAGUAGAGCUAAAAGCAGUUGUUAUACUGAGAUAAUAGUGGCACGCCUAGCACUUUGUUAGUUUUGAUUGUGAGCCUCAAGACCUACACCUAAGGCCACACAAAGACACCUUUCAAAACUAACUUCAAACUCAUCUUGCAGCACAUCAAGCAGCAAGAGUCUGACAAACAAACAUACCAAGUGCCAUUUACCCUUUGGGAGCUGUGGGAGGGGCCAUCCACCUUUUGCCUCGAACAUAAUUCAUUUGUCCUCGCGAUUAUGAUUCAUGAUUCAAAGCUUACGAUUAACUAGCUCAGAGGCGCUUUGUUACGCGAGUUGCACAACUCUUGAAGGGCAAGACAACCAAGGUUUCUUUCAUUUCAGUACUUCAUUUGAGAGGAUAUGGGCAUUGUAUAUCGAUACUUUGCAUACUUAUGUGGGAUAGACCCAUCUAGUAUGUGUUUUAUUGAAGUAUUGAAUUUAGUGAGAUGUUUUAUAUAUAUAUUACU
rnacentral:lncRNA from 1 species